rnacentral:rRNA from 1 species
AUUGAACGCUAGCGGGAUGCUUUACACAUGCAAGUCGAACGGAGUGGCGGACGGGUGAGUAAUAUAUCGGAACGUGCCCCGUAGCGGGGGAUACCUCCUCGAAAGCGUGGCUAAUCCCGCAUACUAUUGGAGCGGCCGAUAUCGGAUUAGCUAGUUGGUGGGGUAAAGGCUCACCAAGGCAACGAUCCGUAGCUGGGUUGAGAGGACGACCAGACACACUGGGACUGAGACACGGCCCAGACUCCUACGGGAGGCAGCAGUGGGGAAUUUUGGACAAGGGGGGAAACCCUGAUGCAGCCAUCCCGCGUGUAUGAGGAAGGCCUUCGGGUUGUAAAGUACUUUUGGCAGAGAAGCGGUAUCUGCAGAAUAAGCACCGGCUAACUACGUGCCAGCAGCCGCGGUAAUAC